UACGUAGGGGGCAAGCGUUGUCCGGAUUUAUUGGGCGUAAAGAGCGUGUAGGCGGCCAGACAGGUCAGCUGUGAAAACUCGAGGCUCAACCUCGAGACGUCGGUUGAAACCGUCUGGCUAGAGUCCGGAAGAGGAGAGUGGAAUUCCCGGUGUAGCGGUGAAAUGCGCAGAUAUCGGGAAGAACACCGGUGGCGAAGGCGGCGACCUGGUCCGAUACUGACGCUGAGGCGCGAAAGCGUGGGGAGCAAACAGG
rnacentral:rRNA from 1 species